rnacentral:rRNA from 1 species
AUGGGGUCUGUGUUCGCGUCGGCGUCGACACACGUGCGGCGACUACGGCGCCAAGCAGGCACGAGUCUGCCUAGCCUUGGAUCGAGCUCUGCUUGGUUCGGUUCCUGCAUUUGGAGGCUCCGUGUGGAGUGGCAACUUCUGUUCGUGGGCAGGCUGUGGCUUCCUCUUCUCCGGUGCUGGUGGUGUGCGUCUUGGUGGAUUCCAGGCUGUAGGGUGGGGGUGGUGACACAGCCGGUGAAAUCCGGGCUUGGUUGCGGUCGAAGCCAACAAUGGCAGUGCUCCUGCACUGUCCCCUGGUUGAAGGCGCCGUGUUGCUGUGCUCACUUCUUUGCCUGUGGUGCUCGAGAGGAAACUUCGGCCCGGGUCUCCUGGGUCAGACGACGGUGGCGCUCAACACCACAUUCCCUCUUGAGGGCCUCGUCUUGGAGCUUGGCUUGGCCACAGAGACCACUGGUUGGAGGUGGUGCCGUUGAUGGGGUGGCGGUUAGGUGGUGGUGGUGCGGCCGGCUCGGGGUCGACGGUUGUUUUGUGCUCUUCUUCGGUGGUGUUUGUGCUGAGUGCUUCUUGUUGCGUCGACGGUGCAGUGCCGUGGUUUGGUCUGCUAGGCGAUGCCCUUCGACUAUGUUGGUGGCACACAGGUACCGUGGCGUCGUCUCGGCCUCGCGUGCCCCUUCGAAUGCACCCCUCGACACAGGUGGUGUCAUGGCGUUGUGCAGUCUCGGAUGCGCGGUGCCUUUCGAUUGCGUCGACGAUGCAGUGUCGUGGCUUGGUCUCGGCUGGCCGAUGCCGUUCGAUUUUACCAGGCGGUGCUCUUUGGUGUGUUGUGUGGUGUUGAGUUCUCCCUCAUUGUUCUCCCUGUUAUGUGUGUGGUCAGUGUAUGCUAUUUUGCUUUGUCUCUACUCCCUGUGUCCCCUGUACUUCUGGUUCACUUGA